rnacentral:siRNA from 1 species
AUAUGUGGUGUACUAUGUAGUGUA